GGACACAGGCAAAAGCAAGUUUUGCAACGUCAACAGUGCUUAGUUCUCAAUCGCUUCUAGCACUGCACCCCUUACUUUAGGUUAUGUUUUCAUUCUUCACAGUUCUUGUGUAACACUCACCACCUUUGCGGCUACUACUCCGCACCGCGCUUGUUUAGUUUAGGCUAAAAUGGGAGUCCAGGGAGCAUAAUUGGAGGAAGGCAACUUUUUAGCGUAGUCUCUGAACGACUGUUUCGGGCGAUUGGAUGUUCCACUUAGGCAACUCCCUAGUACUCCAGGCUUUCCCGGAACACAGUAAUCCCUGGUGAGAGUAAUCCUUGAUGAUAUAGAAACCAAACUCAUUACCAUUUACCCAGAACUUCACCGCAAACCGCUUACCCAGGGAUGUUUGGUAAUGUUCGGAGCCGUUCGAAUGGAUAACUGUACCAUAAACAGGUUACAUUGGCAUAAGCUAUUAGGAUUAGCAACGCGAUAAAUAAGUCACUGGUAAGGUUUAUGCCUAAAUGGUUCAUGAGGAAUCGUCCCCACCGUUUCUGCCAGGGCAGCAUGGAACCGCUGGGCCGACAAUGGCAAGGAAACUUCCCCCUACGAGCUGUAUGAUAAACAAACAAACCAUAUUUUCAUGUAGUUGAAUUUCCUUACUUACAACAGCGAACAGAAGGCGCUAUCUAGGGUCACUUGCCAGCCUUUGGCAAUGGUACAUCCAGGUAUAAAGAAAAAAAUCAAUACAACAUUGGCUUGGGUGGGCGGAAGCAACCCACCAGCUUCCCAUUGCCCUGACGACUACGUCUUCUUGCACUUUAUCAAAAGGCUAAAAUAAAGAAAUCGGACAGCAUUUCUGGAAUAGAUUUCUGUACUGCAAGUUACUUUCUCUAUCAGUGGCAAUCAGUGACAAUCAUCAUUGUUUAAAUAAUGAUUUGUAAGCGAUUAAUGCGAUGUCAUGCUGCAAGAGCUUGUAGGCUGUACGUUCAUGCCCCGCAAGUCAGGCUACCUUAUGUCAGGUCGGCCGAUAGUUCGCAUGUUUCAAGGAAUCCUUGCGAAAAUCAAAGACAAAACAUGGAAUCCUAUUGAUUGUGGUGAAGAUUGUGGCCAGUAAUCCUAUGGCGCUUUUCAUGGGUUGCUUGCUUAGCCUUCCUUAACCCUAACACGGACAGGAGCACUGAAGCUUUCUUGAUAUGAUGGAUUAUAAUCGUGUAAUCCCUACCAUCAACUCCGCGUGUAGUUGGUACCAACUGAUCCCGCUGCUCAGGAAGGGAAGGGAGCGGGAAGGGAGCUGGAAGGGCAGUACAGCGAGCCGCUCUGGCGCGAAGCGGAACGGACCGGGGCCCAGCCCACCCCGCGGUCUCAACUACAGCAGCGACCACGGCAGAGUCCUUUGCAAAGCAGACGGAAGGCCCCUAUUACCAACGUGUACAUGUGUUGGUGUGAAAUGAGGUUAAACAACGGUUCUUCGGAAGUGGAAAGAUCCGUGUCUUGUACCCUUGUUUCAACGCGGCACGAGUGCACCGUUGAGGUCCACUCAAGGCUAAGAGCAAGAGCGGGAACGCACACAUGAUCACCAGGUGCAAACGCAAAUCUCGUUUUACACAAAAGGGCCAUCUGCUACACCUUAAUUAAGCGUCGUGAAUGGAGGAGUACGGUGGAUCCCAACGGAUCACCGCCGUGCACAGGAUCGCAAACACUGCGUACCACCCAAGCACUGGAUGUAGACCAGCAGAAGUGCGAAGACCCACCAGGGCAGCCAACCACUGGAUUGGAGAGCCGUAGAAAACC
rnacentral:lncRNA from 1 species